CACGUAGGGCGCAAGCGUUGUCCGGAAUUAUUGGGCGUAAAGAGCUCGUAGGGGGUUUGCUGCGUCCGCUGUGAAAACCCAAGGCUUAACCUUGGGCUUGCAGUGGAGACGGGCAGACUAGAGGUAGGUAGGGGAGAAUGGAAUUCCCGGUGUAGCGGUGAAAUGCGCAGAUAUCGGGAGGAACACCGGUGGCGAAGGCGGUUCUCUGGGCCUUACCUGACACUGAGGAGCGAAAGCGUGGGGAGCGAACAGG
rnacentral:rRNA from 1 species